AACGCGAAGAACCUUACCAGGCUUUGACAUGCCCUCUGUGGAUCCUAGAAAUAGGGUCCUUCACUUCGGGUGGGAGGAGCACAGGUGCUGCAUGGCUGUCGUCAGCUCGUGUCGUGAGAUGUUGGGUUAAGUCCCGCAACGAGCGCAACCCUCGUCCUCUGUUGCCAACAGGUAAUGCUGGGAACUCUGAGGAAACUGCCGGUGAUAAGCCGGAGGAAGGUGGGGAUGACGUCAAGUCCUCAUGGCCCUUACAGCCUGGGCUACACACGUGUUACAAUGGCAGUGACAAUGCGUUGCUACCCUGCAAGGGGAUGCCAAUCGCAAAAAGCUGCCUCAGUUCGGAUUGUACUCUGCAACUCGAGUACAUGAAGCUGGAAUCGCUAGUAAUCGCGCAUCAUCGCGGCGCGGUGAAUACGUUCCCGGGCCUUGUACACACCGGAGUGC
rnacentral:rRNA from 1 species